rnacentral:rRNA from 1 species
ACUCCUACGGAAGGCAGCAGUGGGGAAUCUUGCGCAAUGGGCGAAAGCCUGACGCAGCAACGCCGCGUGGGGGAUGAAGGCUCUCGGGUUGUAAACCCCUUUCAGCAGGGACGAAAUUGACGGUACCCGCAGAAGAAGCCCCGGCUAACUUCGUGCCAGCAGCCGCGGUAAU